AAAUGCAGACAUAUGCCAUAUGUUAGAGCUGAUUCUGCUAGGUAUAUGUCUUUUGUUAACCAGUUUCUUCUCAUCCUUCCUAAUGUUGCUUGCUUGGCUGAAAAGGGUGCUCGUCCAAGUAGAGGAGGGGAGGAUAGUGUUCUCUCAAGGGCCUAUGAGGAUCUGUGUUCUUCUGUUGAAAUCCUCAAAUCAAUGCUAUUUAUAGGAGAACACAGGUAGUCUUGCUUAUUUAAUGUAUUUUAAGAUUAAAAAGCAAUAUUUUU
rnacentral:snRNA from 1 species